ensembl:lncRNA
CCCUUGCCAGCUAGCUUUUCUCUCAUCCACUCUCAUCCUUUCUUUGUAUUUGCUUGCGUCCCCUGGCUCUUUUCUCUUUCUGUCUUGACUUGUCUUUGCCAACCCAAUUAGGCUCAUCUUCUUUUCUUAUUUUGAAUGUCUGCAGUUUUUCAGCACUCACAGAGGACAACACUCCCACUCUGUAUACAGAUGAUUUUGCUGCUGAAUUACUUGCGGUCCACUGGCAUCCAAAUAGUAACUGCAUAGGAAGCAUUACUCUGCACCAUCUGAAGCAGGCUCACCAAACAAACAAAGCAUCUACUCCAGGCCAAAGCUGUUGAGUUCAGAAGUUUCUAUAGAGCGUGUAUAAAUGGCAGUGCUGAGUUUUUCAGCCUGGAUAAUUUUAGAUAUAGUUGCAUGAAGUUAGAUAAGGCAUGUCUUUGAAGCCUUAAGUGAAAGCAUUUGAGUACUAAAUCUUUACAGGGAAAAUAGCCCUCAUAGAACCUUUUAUUUGAGUUAUUAUAUAACUUACCGUACAGUUAUCCUCAUGGGGGGCAGAAUCAGCCUGACAAAGGUAUUCCCAAUGUUUAGCCAUGGAAUGAGAAAGAAUUUCAAUUGAAACUAAUGCUUUUUUUUCCCCAAGAUUAUACGCAGCUAAAUGCAGAAUACUUGUAUUGAGAAAAGUUCAGCAACCUAAAUAACAAGCUGUCGCACCAAUCUUAUCUAUAAAAAUGCAAGAAAUUGCCAGGUACAGACUUUAAACUGCGGAAGAUAUAUGAACAGUAUCUGUUGGAAAGUCUGACAUCAGCCUCAGGGAUCAGUGAUAAUAUUAAUACUGGAGAAGAAUGAUGAAACUGUAAAUCACUUUGGACAUCCUGUGAAAUGCACUCCUUAGUCAUUAUUUUGAAGUUCGGGAUUAGAAGUUCUUGCUUCCUGAGGUAUUUCUUGUGAUAAGACUCUAGCAGAUGAGAGGUGGGUGGCAAUCAACAUCACUAUCUGGACAAUUUACAUCUGAAAGAACUUCUUUGGAGCUGUUUGCCUUCGGCCCAAGAGUCAAGAGAAUGCUCAGGACAGUUUACUGGCGGAAGAUCUUUCCUGUGACCAAAGUCUGUUAUGGGAGACUGGGGGAUGAUACCAUCGUAUCUUGUGAAGGCAAGAUACUAGUUGGCAUCUCCAUACUUCCUCUUAUCUGCUGGCAAGGCCAGGGAGGUAGGAACAAAAGGAAUUCCUUCUGAGAUCCAAAAGCCAGAAACUGUCAUUCCAAAAGGCUGACUCAACCACUUUGGACUUGUUUAUAAGUUUGUGCUGCCAUCAUCAUCAUCAUCGUCGUCGUCGCAGUGGUCACUGUCCUCAUCAACACAACAACACCCAACGGCCCACUUCUACUGAAGGGCAACGACUGAACCAUGAACCACGCUGGACCCAUGGUGGUGAUUAUCUCCCUCUUGCUUCCUAUAGAGACUCCUUACUCCUAUUUCCUAUCUUUUCUACUGCCUUUGUUCCCUUCCCCAUCACCCUAAUUUAUACCUAUAAAGACUUCUUGCUUCUAUUUUCUAUCUUUUCUAUCGCUCGCCUUCCCUUCCCCAUUACCCCAAUCCACAAUAGUGUCCGUCCUCCCCCUUCAUCAUCUCCCUUAUUAACAUUUGUAAUAAACUGGUCGG